UGGGGAAUCUUGGACAAUGGGGGCAACCCUGAUCCAGCCAUGCCGCGUGAGUGAUGAAGGCCUUAGGGUCGUAAAGCUCUUUCGCCUGUGAAGAUAAUGACGGUAGCAGGUAAAGAAACCCCGGCUAACUCCGUGCCAGCAGCCGCGGUAAUACGGAGGGGGUUAGCGUUGUUCGGAAUUACUGGGCGUAAAGCGCACGUAGGCGGACCAGAAAGUUGGGGGUGAAAUCCCGGGGGCUCAACCCCGGAACUGCCUCCAAAACUAUUGGUCUAGAGUUCGAGAGAGGUGAGUGGAAUUCCAAGUGUAGAGGUGAAAUUCGUAGAUAUUUGGAGGAACACCAGUGGCGAAGGCGGCUCACUGGCUCGAUACUGACGCUGAGGUGCGAAAGUGUGGGGAGCAAACAGGAUUAGAUACCCUGGUAGUCCACGCCGUAAAACGAUGAGUGCUAGUCGUCGGCAGGCAUGCCUGUCGGUGACGCAGCUAACGCAUUAAGCACUCCGCCUGGGGAGUACGGCCGC
rnacentral:rRNA from 1 species